rnacentral:rRNA from 1 species
GACGAACGCUGGCGGCGUGCUUAACACAUGCAAGUCGAACGGAAAGGCCCUGCUUUUGUGGGGUGCUCGAGUGGCGAACGGGUGAGUAACACGUGAGUAACCUGCCCUUGACUUUGGGAUAGCUUCAGGAAACUGGGGCUAAUACCGGAUAGGAGCUCCUGCUGCAUGGUGGGGGUUGGAAAGUUUCGGCGGUUGGGGAUGGACUCGCGGCUUAUCAGCUUGUUGGUGGGGUAGUGGCUUACCAAGGCUUUGACGGGUAGCCGGCCUGAGAGGGUGACCGGCCACAUUGGGACUGAGAUACGGCCCAGACUCCUACGGGAGGCAGCAGUGGGGAAUAUUGCACAAUGGGCGGAAGCCUGAUGCAGCCACGCCGCGUGCGGGAUGACGGCCUUCGGGUUGUAAACCGCUUUCGCCUGUGACGAAGCGUGAGUGACGGUAAUGGGUAAAGAAGCACCGGCUAACUACGUG